GACAGAGGGUGCAAACGUUGCUCGGAAUUACUGGGCGUAAAGCGCGUGUAGGCUGCCCUGCAAGUCGGAUGUGAAAGCCCUGGGCUCAACCUAGGAAGUGCACUCGAAACUGCAGGGCUGGAGUCCUGGAGAGGAAGGCGGAAUUCUCGGUGUAGAGGUGAAAUUCGUAGAUAUCGAGAGGAACACCGGUGGCGAAGGCGGCCUUCUGGACAGUGACUGACGCUGAGACGCGAAAGCGUGGGGAGCAAACAGG
rnacentral:rRNA from 1 species